CUUCGGUGUCCGAGUUGUAAUUUGAAGAAGGUAACUUUGGAGUCAGCUCUUGUCUAUGUUCCUUGGAACAGGACGUCACAGAGGGUGAGAAUCCCGUGCGAUGAGAUGUCUGAUUCUAUGUAAAGUGCUUUCGAAGAGUCGAGUUGUUUGGGAAUGCAGCUCUAAGUGGGUGGUAAAUUCCAUCUAAAGCUAAAUAUUGGCGAGAGACCGAUAGCGAACAAGUACAGUGAUGGAAAGAUGAAAAGAACUUUGAAAAGAGAGUGAAAAAGUACGUGAAAUUGUUGAAAGGGAAGGGUUUGAGAUCAGACUUGGUAUUUUGUAUGUCUUGCUUUCGGGUGGGGCCUCUACAGUUUACUGGGCCAGCAUCGGUUUGGACGGUAGGAUAAUGACAUUGGAAUGUGGCACCACU
rnacentral:rRNA from 1 species